rnacentral:rRNA from 1 species
AGAACGAACGCUGGCGGCAGGCCUCAAACAUGCAAGUCUAGGGGGUGUAGCAAUACAUCACCGGCGGACGGGUGCGUAACGCGUGGGAAUAUACCUAUUGGUUCGGAACAACUGAGGGAAACUUCAGCUAAUACCGGAUAAGCCCUUACGGGGAAAGAUUUCUCGCCAAUAGAUUAGCCCGCGUCCGAUUAGCUAGUUGGUGGGGUAAAAGCCUACCAAGGCAACGAUCGGUAGCUGUUCUGAGAGGAAGAUCAGCCACACUGGGACUGAGACACGGCCCAGACUCCUACGGGAGGCAGCAGUUGGGAAUCUUGGACAAUGGGGGAAACCCUGAUCCAGCCAUGCCGCGUGAGUGAUGAAGGCCUUCGGGUUGUAAAACUCUUUCGACGGGACGAUAAUGACGGUACCCGUAGAAGAAGCUCCGGCUAACUUCGCGCCAGCAGCCGC